AGCUUCAAUAGUGUAUAUUAAUGUUGUUGUAGUUAGAAAGCUCGUAGUCGAGUUCCUGCAAAGGGAAACUGGUCCACCCUUUGGGUGAGUAUCUGGCUUGACUGGAGCAUUCGAUUGGGUGGUGUAGCUGUACUUGACUGUGUUGUAUACUUCCCAAGACCUUUACUUUGAGGAAAUUGGAGUGUUCCAAGCAGGCACCUGCCUUGAAUCUAUUAGCAUGGAAUGAUUGAAUGAGCCUGUGCUGUUUUAUGUUGGCUCCUGCAGCAAUGGCAAUGAUGGGUAGAAACACUUGGGGGCAUACAAAUUCAACUGUCAGAGGUGAAAUUCUUGGAUUUGUUGAAGAUGGCCGACUGCGAAAGCAUUUGCCAAAACUGUUUUCAUUG
rnacentral:rRNA from 1 species